UACGUAGGGUGCAAGCGUUGUCCGGAAUUAUUGGGCGUAAAGAGCUCGUAGGCGGCCAGGCAGGUCCGCUGUGAAAACUCGAGGCUCAACCUCGAGAUGUCGGUGGAAACCGUCUGGCUAGAGUCCGGAAGAGGAGAGUGGAAUUCCCGGUGUAGCGGUGAAAUGCGCAGAUAUCGGGAAGAACACCCGUGGCGAAGGCGGCCCUCUGGGACGGUACUGACGCUGAGACGCGAAAGCGUGGGGAGCGAACAGG
rnacentral:rRNA from 1 species